rnacentral:rRNA from 1 species
CGCCCCUUGAAGAAAUAAGUAUAAGGGGUCCUGCCUGCCCAGUGACUGUAAGGUUAAACGGCCGCGGUAUCUUGACCGUGCGAAGGUAGCAUAAUCAUUUGUCUCCUAAAUAGAGACUGGUAUGAAUGGCAAGACGGAGCUCCACUGUCUCCUCCUCUUUGAUCUGAAUUUCACAUUCCCGUGAAGAGGCGAGAAUUAGUUCGUAAGACGAGAAGACCCUGUCGAGCUGUAGUUAAACUUUAAAUGUUAUUUUACAUUAAUCCUAACUAAUAACAAUAAAGAUAGUAGGCCUAAAGUAUAACAAGUUAAAAUACGCUUUGAUUGGGGCAAUCCCGGAGAAAGAAAAUCCUCCGUUACUAUAUGGUUAUGUUAAACCUAAAAUAAAAGAACUAUCCUUCUUGUAUCAUAUAAAUGAAGGCGUGAUCCACUUAUAGUGAUCAAAAGAACAAGUUACCGCAGGGAUAACAGCGUUAUCUUUUCUGAGAGUUCAUAUUGACGAAAAGGUUUGCGACCUCGAUG